AGCGCGCAGCCGGCCGCCCUCAACCGCUCCCAGCAUCGGUUGCCGGUGGUUCGGGGCAGGGAGACGACGCAGCGCGAGCGGAAAGGGCGGUUACCCAACGGCCUUAGCUCUCAUGGCGUCCUCCGUGGUGUUACCUAAAAAUAAAGUUAUUUGUGAUUAGAAGGUAAUCGCCUCCUGGUCAUGCUUCCGCUGGUCAACAGUGUCUGCGGGGCGACCCCAUCCUUGUGGCCAGAGAGGGCCUGUGGCUGCGCUCAAGGCGGGAGCGGUCCUUAGCGGGGCCCUGCGGGACGCCCAGGCCGCGCUCCUUUCCCUUGCUCGCCUGGCCUUGAAGUGAAGGGGGAGGUUUAACAAUGCAGUGGGAACCCCAAAGUUUGUCUCGGCCGUGCUGCUCACAUUCCAAACAAUGCAAAAGGUUGAGGAAAACCUCAGCAGUUGAAACCGUGAUGCAUUUCAGCAAAGAAGUAGCUCCUGUCCUCGUAAAAUCAGUGAAGUUCUCACGGACGACCUCAUUGAAAGUUUUCAUGGGCUGAGCUGCUGACUUCAGCCUGGGAACUGAGGCCAACAUCGGAGUCUCCUCGGCACACAAGUUUGAAAGAAGUCCUAGUGACUUCAAGCUCAGAACCAUGGACGGCAGGGCUCCCUCUGGAUGUGGAAUUCUCCGUCCCUUUCCAGGGAGGGAACAAAGCCCACAAGCACCGAGACUCCUUCAGGGUGAGCAAAGGCCUGGAAAAACCUGUAUGCAGAUAAAGAAAAGGAAAGAAAGAGAUAAUCAGUGCAUGCAGUUGUCAGCUGGCUGGGACCUGAGGAGAGUCACUUGUGGAGGCAACUGGUCUUUAUCCCCAUUGUCCGGUACAAGGCAGGCAUUAAUCCUGUGAUCCUUAUCUGAAGCUCAGGUUUGAUUUUAUUCUUUUCUUAAGUACCUACUGUUAUCCCCAAGCUUAUAAUAAUAGUUUAAUUGUUACAGCCAGUAUCUCACCUUCAGAAGUAAGAUGCUUAGGAAACCAAGACAAGGAACUGUGUGUUGCAAACAGCAUCACCCUGGAGAAGAGGUGGCAGGAGGUGACCUACAGAAAAUGGAGUAAUAGCCUAGAGCAAGAAACACAGAACAAAAGAGAAAUGAGGGGUUAGGCAACCUCCUGGAGCACCAAUGGGACAAGCACAUAUUCAGGGGCCUCCUAACAGACUCGACUUCCAGCAUCCUCAGAUGGUGCUAGACACGUUACAUAGACGUUCAAGAGUAGAGAACUCAGGGACUUCUGAUUUAUAUCAAGAAAUGCAUACACAGCAGACGUGUGCCUGUGGAGUGGAAUUCUGGAAAAGCUCACAGCCCAGAACAUAAUGCAGACUCCCCCAGCCACAGCACCUUCCAAACCUGAGAAGAGUGCUGAUUCUCCAUCUGAGCACCCAUUCUCCUGCAACAUCAGGGGAGAGGAUUUCACCUAAGGGUCAGACCAGCAUCUCCAAACCCAGCUCCCCACCUUUGCCUGUUGGUGGCACUUGUGGGAGAAGGGGAGAUGGUAUGAAAAGAGCCACAACAGGAGUCACCUGGACAGGGUGGAGCUUGAUGGAAACUGACAUUUGUGCCCAUUGGAGGCAAAUGUAGAAUUUGGUAUCUUCCGUAGCGUCAGGCACAUGAAACUCUCCAGUGCCCAUGACUUUUGACAGUGACUUCAGAGCACAUCUGGGAGACCCAUGUGGCCCAGGCUCCACACAGGCAGGAGCUCAGCUUCACUCACAGCAGGAUUCCUAGUGCCAAGAACACCAUAGGUGCAUAGCAGGUGAUCAAAAUAAUUGUAUGUGGCUGAAUCAGUGAGAGGUAAGAGAGAGGACUUGAUCCUAGCUGCAAACUAAGAGACCUCAUUAAAACCUAACAUGUGGCUGGGUGUGGUGGCUCACGCCUGUAAGCCCAGCACUUUGGGAGGCCGAGGGGUGGAUCACCUGAGGUCAGGAGUUCAAGACAAGCCUGGCCAACGUGGUGAAAACCCAUCUCUACUAAAUAUACAAAAAAUUGGCUGGGCAUGGUGGCAGGUGCCUGUAAUCCCAGCUACUUGGGAGGCUGAGGCAGGAGAAUCACUUGAACCCAGGAGGCGGAGGUUGCAGUGAGCCGAGAUUGCACCACUAUACUCCAGCCUGGCAAUAAGAGCAAAAGUCCGUCUCAAAAC
rnacentral:lncRNA from 10 species